rnacentral:rRNA from 1 species
UACGAAGGUGGCUAGCGUUGCUCGGAAUCACUGGGCGUAAAGGGUGCGUAGGCGGGGCUUUAAGUCAGGGGGGAAAUCCUGGAGCUCAACUCCAGAACUGCCUUUGAUACUGAAGAUCUUGAGUUCGGGAGAGGUGAGUGGAACUGCGAGUGUAGAGGUGAAAUUCGUAGAUAUUCGCAAGAACACCAGUGGCGAAGGCGGCUCACUGGCCCGAUACUGACGCUGAUGCACGAAAGCGUGGGGAGCAAACAGG